UACGUAGGGGGCAAGCGUUAUCCGGAAUCAUUGGGCGUAAAGCGCGUGUAGGCGGUUCUGUAAGUCCGCUCUGAAAGCCCAGGGCUCAACCCUGGGAGGCGGGUGGAUACUACAGAACUGGAGUACGGAAGAGGAGAUUGGAAUUCUCGGUGUAGCGGUGAAAUGCGUAGAUAUCGAGAGGAACACCUGCGGCGAAGGCGGGUUGCUGGGCUGAUACUGACGCUGAGGCGCGAAAGCUAGGGGAGCGAACAGG
rnacentral:rRNA from 1 species